rnacentral:lncRNA from 1 species
ACAAAUGAGAGAAAUGUGAGAAUGAAAAAUAAGAAUGGGAGAGAGAAAGAUAAGUAUGAAACAAGAGAUAAAACCAAAGAGACAGAGAGAGGAAAGGAAACUUCUAGGUGGUAGGGGAAAACUUGAAAUGCCCCUUCCGUUUCGAUCAAAAACCCAAGAAACCCAUCAUUUACACAUAAAAAAUCAAAAUUACCCCUAAUUUAUACACAAAUUCCCGAAUGAUACCAAUCUCUUGACUAAAACCCCAAAAUGCCCUCCAUACAGAGACAAAUUACAAUGCCACAUGUCAUUCCCUGAAAGUCCUUUAUAAGUAAAAAUCAUAAUACUUAAAAUCGUAUUUAGCCACAUGUCAU